GUCUAUGGCCAUACCACCUUUAACGCACCUGAUCUUGUCUGAUCCCAGAAGCUAAGCAGGGUCGGUGCCUGGUUAGUACUUGGAUGGGAGAAUGAGAGAAUGAAUGGGCAUGCCAGGGCCU
rnacentral:rRNA from 1 species